rnacentral:rRNA from 1 species
GAUGAACGCUGGCGGCGUGCCUAAUACAUGCAAGUCGAGCGAACGGACGAGAAGCUUGCUUCUCUGAUGUUAGCGGCGGACGGGUGAGUAACACGUGGAUAACCUACCUAUAAGACUGGGAUAACUUCGGGAAACCGGAGCUAAUACCGGAUGAUAUUUUGAACCGCAUGGUUCAAAAGUGAAAGACGGUCUUGCUGUCACUUAUAGAUGGAUCCGCGCUGCAUUAGCUAGUUGGUAAGGUAACGGCUUACCAAGGCAACGAUGCAUAGCCGACCUGAGAGGGUGAUCGGCCACACUGGAACUGAGACACGGUCCAGACUCCUACGGGAGGCAGCAGUAGGGAAUCUUCCGCAAAGGGCGAAAGCCUGACGGAGCAACACCGCGUGAGUGAUGAAGGUCUUCGGAUCGUAAAACUCUGUUAUUAGGGAAGAACAUAUGUGUAAGUAACUGUGCACAUCUUGACGGUACCUAAUCAGAAAGCCACGGCUAACUACGUG